rnacentral:rRNA from 1 species
AACGAACGCUGGCGGCAGGCUUAACACAUGCAAGUCGAACGGGCGUAGCAAUACGUCAGUGGCGGACGGGUGAGUAACACGUGGGAAUAUGCCUUUCGGUUCGGAACAACUCGGGGAAACCCGUGCUAAUUCCGGAUACGCCCUUACGGGGAAAGAUUUAUCGCCGAAAGAUUAGCCCGCGUUGGAUUAGCUAGUUGGUGAGGUUAAAGGCUCACCAAGGCGACGAUCCAUAGCUGGUUUGAGAGAACGACCAGCCACACUGGGACGUGAGACACGGCCCAGACUCCUACGGGAGGCGAGCAGUGGGGAAUCUUGGACAAUGGGAGGAAACUCUGAUCCAGCCAUGCCGCGUGAGUGAUGAAGGCC